rnacentral:rRNA from 1 species
CAUGAAGCUGGAUUCGCUAGUAAUCGCGCAUCAGCCACGGCGCGGUGAAUACGUUCCCGGGCCUUGUACACACCGCCCGUCAAGCCAUGGAAGCCGGGAGUGCCUGAAGUGCGUGAGCGCAAGCAGCGCCCUAAGGUAAAACCGGUGACUGGGGGCUAAGUCGUAACAAGGUACC